rnacentral:lncRNA from 1 species
AGUGUUAUUGUAAGGACUUCGAUAUGUUUCUGAUAGUAUCUGGUGUAUGAUCUUGGAGAAAGUGAAAGAUUGGCCCUUCUGGUCAUCAGACUGUCAUGCUCCUAACACAAGAUAAACAUUGUUUCCAAUGCAGAGACAAGGACACAUGGACAGUGCUUCUAGAGCUAACCGCAGCAGCAAGAAAUGGCAAUCAGUCCUCUCUGAUCCCUUUUUACCAGUGUUAUCCUCUGCCAGCCUUCACUCCUCAAGCUGGCCUCAGACUGGAUGAGGUAUGGAUGGAAAGGAUAGAAAGAACAAGGAGAGGGUUCCAGAAGCAGCUCUCUCUUUCUCCUAUUGCAUAUGAACAGUGGGAAAUGUAGCCCUGGAUACUACUAGAAGCCACCCUAUCUAUGGUUAAGAGGAAAGCCAGCUUCGGGAUGCAGUUGAUUCUGGACAGCACAGCAGAGUCAUGGAAAACUUGGAUCUUCAGUAGAAUGUGAUCCUAUUUGCAUCAAACCAAAAGGAAUCCCAUACUCCCUUUGGGUUUCCUAUUAUGUAAACAAUGGAUUUCCAAAUUGUUCAAUCCAGGUUGGUUUCCUGAUGAACUCAAAUCACUCAGACUGAUAUACUUGGACACUGAAAAUAAUACAACCUCCAAAAGUUAAACUGUAACAUAAAGUAUUUUAAGUGAUGUUAGAAGGCAUUCUUUCGCAAAGCCAGUGACUAGCUCCCACUCCCACUCAGGGAUGCAUCAAUGUGGAAGGUACACA